rnacentral:rRNA from 1 species
UACGGGGGGGGGCAAGCGUUGUUCGGAAUUACUGGGCGUAAAGGGCUCGUAGGCGGCCAACUAAGUCAUACGUGAAAUCCCUCGGCUUAACCGGGGAACUGCGUCUGAUACUGGAUGGCUUGAGUUCGGGAGAAGGAUGCGGAAUUCCAGGUGUAGCGGUGAAAUGCGCAGAUAUCGGGAAGAACACCCGUGGCGAAGGCGGCUCUCUGGGACGGUACCGACGGCUGAGACGCGAAAGCGUGGGGAGCGAACAGG